UACGGAGGGGGCUAGCGUUGUUCGGAAUGACUGGGCGUAAAGCGCGCGUAGGCGGAUUGGCAAGUUGGGGGUGAAAUCCCGGGGCUCAACCUCGGAAUGGCCUUCAAGGCUGCUGGUCUUGAGUUCGAGAGAGGUGAGUGGAAUUCCGAGUGUAGAGGUGAAAUUCGUAGAUAUUCGGAGGAACACCAGUGGCGAAGGCGGCUCACUGGCUCGACACUGACGCUGAGGUGCGAAAGCGUGGGGAGCAAAC
rnacentral:rRNA from 1 species